AAUGGUUCCCAGCAGUAACCUCUUUCCAAAUUUUCUGUCCAAAGUUGGCACACAAGAAAGAUUUCCAAGAUUUAAGAUGAUCAAUUUUCUUCACCCAGAGCACAAAAAAAGAAAAGCAAGACUGUUCAUAAUAGCUACAGGUAAAAAAAACAUGACCAACAUAAGUAUGUAGCACGUGAUAACACUUGGUUUGUGGUCACACACCAAACUCCCUUCUAAAAGUCUUUAUUGGAUCACUACCUGUUUCCACUAAUGCCUAUCGGCCUAACAGAAAUUAACUUCCUGUGAAGAAAAAGGUCCCAGCAACAUUAUUGCACAUCCUGUGAUUGCCAUCACAACCACCAAGAAGAGCAGAGCUAUUUAGAGGAAUUGCGAAGAAGGGACAGCAGAAAGAGAAGAUGACUCAUUCUCGCUUCCUCUCACUGCUGCUCAUCGCAGGAUUUAUCUCAUUGUCCUUCUCUGUAGGUCUCUACCUCAGGUUCUUCUAUCAUCUUUUUGUUGAGGUAAAGCUUCAAAAUGAGUAUGAGCCUUUCAUAAAUGGAAGAAAGAUCAUUAUGAGACAUCUGUCUGAUCCUGAGUAAAGCAUGGUGCAAGCCUACUGAGAAUCUGGAGCUAAACACUAAUCCAACGAGUGGAGUCAUCUGCAACAACACAUCCUGUAGCUAAAAUACUGCUAAUAAUAUUUACUCUUAACCCCAAAAGUGAAACAAAGAACAUGUAAAUCCUAAAAUGAAAUAAAGCAAGGAGUUCUCUA